rnacentral:rRNA from 1 species
AGUGAACGCUGGCGGUAGGCCUAACACAUGCAAGUCGAACGGCAGCACAGUAAGAGCUUGCUCUUACGGGUGGCGAGUGGCGGACGGGUGAGGAAUACAUCGGAAUCUACUUUUUCGUGGGUGAUAACGUAGGGAAACUUACGCUAAUACCGCAUACGACCUACGGGUGAAAGCAGGGGAUCUUCGGACCUUGCGCGAUUCAAUGAGCCGAUGUCGGAUUAGCUAGUUGGCGGGGUAAAGGCCCACCAAGGCGACGAUCCGUAGCUGGUCUGAGAGGAUGAUCAGCCACACUGGAACUGAGACACGGUCCAGACUCCUACGGGAGGCAGCAGUGGGGAAUAUUGGACAAUGGGCGCAAGCCUGAUCCAGCAAUACCGCGUGGGUGAAGAAGGCCUUCGGGUUGUAAAGCCCUUUUGUUGGGAAAGAAAAGCAGCAGGUUAAUACCCCGCUGUUCUGACGGUACCCAAAGAAUAAGCACCGGCUAACUUCGUG